rnacentral:rRNA from 1 species
UACGUAGGGUGCAAGCGUUGUCCGGAAUUAUUGGGCGUAAAGAGCUCGUAGGCGGUUUGUCGCGUCUGCUGUGAAAAUCCAGGGCUUAACCCUGGACCUGCAGUGGGUACGGGCAGACUAGAGUGCGGUAGGGGAGAUCGGAAUUCCUGGUGUAGCGGUGAAAUGCGCAGAUAUCAGGAGGAACACCGGUGGCGAAGGCGGCUUCCUGGACCGACACUGACGCUGAGGCGCGAAAGCUAGGGGAGCAAACGGG